GCCUGUGAGUAGUGAAGAAGUAUAGAGAACUUUGGUUGGUUGUUGACCAACGGAAAGCAUGGGAGAAAAAAGAUGGACGAAGACAACAAAAAGGUUCACCCCUCACCUAGUCUCCCCCAUUCCGAAAAUAGCGGAGAAAGUCAUGAUAGACGGGACUAUUUCGCCCUUGCUGCUGUAGUUGAAGUAGCAUUCUCCGAAGAAAUUCUUCUAGUACUGUCUU
rnacentral:lncRNA from 1 species